rnacentral:rRNA from 1 species
UACGAAGGGGGCUAGCGUUGCUCGGAAUUACUGGGCGUAAAGGGUGCGUAGGCGGGUCUUUAAGUCAGAGGUGAAAGCCCAGGGCUCAACCUUGGAAUUGCCUUUGAUACUGGCUGUCUUGAGUACGGGAGAGGUGUGUGGAACUCCGAGUGUAGAGGUGAAAUUCGUAGAUAUUCGGAAGAACACCAGUGGCGAAGGCGACACACUGGCCCGUUACUGACGCUGAGGCUCGAAAGCGUGGGGAGCAAACAGG